rnacentral:lncRNA from 1 species
UUUUUUUUUUUUUUUUUUUUUUUUUGGCAGCACCUGGGCAUGUGGAAGUCCUGGGCCAGGCAGCAAACCUGUGCCACAGCAGUGACCUGAGCUGCUGCAGUGACAACGUUAGAUCCUUAGCCCGCUGCACCAUAAGGGAACUCCAAAGAAAAUAAUCUUGAUCUCUUCCUAACUGUUGGCAGCUAAUGCCACCUCUGACUCAAGGGGUACAGUUCUAAUUUUCUGCCUCUCCAUUUAAACUCCUAGGUCAUAACAUCGUGCAGCUAUUCCUGAAACACCCCCUGUGUGCCAGGCUCUGUGCUAGAUACUUUAACUGCCUUUUAAACGAUGAAAAUAUUGCUGUUAUCCUGGUUUUGCAGCAGAGGUUCAAUAAGCUCCCCAAGGUCACCGAACCUAUUUGCGGGAAGAUGAGGUUCCAUUCUAGGUGUAACUGAUCCUAAAGUCCAGUGACAACAAAGAUUCUUUAUGAACACCCAGGUUUACUAACAUAAAAAUCAUACCGGAAGUCCUGAAAACUGAGAGCGAGUGCUGAAAACACUCCACAGGGCAGAGUUUCUGUGCUGCGAUGCCCCAGACCACACACCAGGAGAGGCACCAGCAGGGAGGCCGAGCACCUGAGCCCUGAGGAGCAUUUCCAAAGGCAGGGCAGAACCAGGGCUAUCUGGCGCCCUCCUGUGGACAGUGUUAGGUGACGCGACAAAGAAGCUUAACCAUCUAACAGUGAUUCAACAAACAGCUGAAAUACAGGCACAAAGAAUGCAAUGAGACAUUUCAGCCAAGGACAGCAGACUAGCUGGUUAACCUGGUCAACCAGUUAGUCCCCAAUUAGGUACACAUAUUGCUGUUUAUUGCACAUUUUAAGAAUAUGUAUUAAUAUAAUGAAAAUGAAAUUCAAAAUGUGAAGAAUCUCUGAAGUACCUGGGAUAAAACCUGAGAACCAGAAUUUGGCUCCUUUAUUUAUUUAUUUAUUUACUUGCUUUUUAGAGCCGCACCCGCGGCAUAUGGAAGUUCCCAGGCUAGGGGUCAAACUGCCAGCCAAGGGUCCAAGCCACGACUGUGACCUACACCACAGCUCACAGCAAUGCCAGAUCCUUGACCCACUGAGCGAGGCCAGGACUCGAUCCCACAUCCUCAUGGAUACUAGUCGUACUCAUUUUCACUACACCACAGCAGGAACUCCCCGCCUCCUUUAAACAAAAAGGCCUUCGAUCACUUAUUGCCCAGUGUUUUACCUGUGGCUCAUGAAAUUUUGAGGUGUAUAUAAUAAAGGUAAAAGAUACUGAUGCAAGAAACAUAAGUUAACAGUAUUUUAGAUCAGAAAGAAAAAUACAGACAUACCUUGUUUUCCUGGGCUUUGCUUUCCAGCACGUGGCAGAUAUUUCAUUUUUUACAAACUGAAGGUAGGUGGGGACUCUCCACUGAACAAGCCUACGAGAGCUCACUUUGUCUCCGCUCAUUUGGGUACUUCUUAUGAUAUUGCAAACGUUUCCUUAUUAUUAUAUUGGUUAUACUGAUUUGUGAUCAGUGAUAUUUGAUGUUACUACUACAACUCCCUGAAGACUCAGAUGAUGGUUGGCAUUUAUUAGCAAUGAAGUAUUUUUAAAUUAAAGUAGGAGACACAAUGUUUUUUGCACACUUAACGGACUACAAUAUAAUGAAAACAUAACUUUUGUAUGCACUGGGAAUCCAAAAAAAUUGUGUGACUCCCUUUAUUUCGAUUUUAGCUUUAUUUUGGUGGUUUGUAACUCAGCUCUCAACAUCUGUGAAGUAUUCCUGGAUCAGCCACUUGAUUUUACCAACAAACUAAUAACUAUAUUAGAGAGACUUUAAUUCAUUAUUCAUUCUUCAUGCACACAUGGAUAUAUUUUUCACUCAUUUUAUUUAGGGACCAUAUAAACAAGAUGACACCUAAGUCAAUUUCAAGAGGAAAUCAACAUAAUGCAUACUUUUCUUUACGCUAUAAAUGAUUUUAAGGUUGUCAUAGAGCAGUUAUCUUUUUUUUUUUUCUUUUUUUAGGGCUGCACUCGGGACAAUAUGGAGGUUCCCAGGCUAGGGGACUAACCGGAGCUACAGCUGCCAGUCUACACCACAGCCACAGAAAUGCCAGAUCCUUAACCCCCUGAGCAAGGCUAGGGAUGGAAACUGCAACCGCAUGGUUCCUGGUGGGAUUCAUUUCUGCUGCGCCACGAUGGAAACUCCCAGUUAUCUUCUGUUUUUAAUAAACUAAAAUGUCACUGAUAAUUAAACACCUUAGUUCUUCUUUUUUUUUUUAAAUCAUUUAAACUUCCAAGAACAGCAGACACAUUUCCAGGUUCCUAUCUUUCCUGCAUGAUAGAUGGAAAUGUAACACACACAUUUAUGACUCAUCUACUUUGUUGUAUUCGCAACAUCACUGCACUGAUGUUCAUUGUGUUAACACGGCUAAGCAGCAUUCUCCAAACUCUGGUUUCUUACUACAUUUCUUUAGCAUUUUAUGUUUUGUUCUCUGAAAAUUCCUAGACUCCUUGCAUCCGAGGUUACUGUUUUCAAUACCUGAACUGGAUGGAAUCAAUGACUCAUGACGGAGGAGAAAGCAACUUUCAGUUUCUCGGGUUCACAAAUUUCCCCUGAUGUAGAAACCACUGCCAGAAGCACCCCUGGUGUUGCCAUUCUCAACUCUACAGACCCUGCUGCCUUCUAGCCCUUGAUCGUCUCUCCGAACCCUUUCCCUUGCAUCCCUCUUUUCCUUAAAUGGCUUCUGUGCACGCUCCAGUGAUACUCUUUUCCCGACUUAUGAUGGUUCUCCUUUCUUCGUGGCAGGAGAGCUUGUGGUUUAAAAUGCAGCCCCUGGGAAUAAAUCGGUCUAGACUUGCAUUUAGCGUCUACCACACUCUCUAACUCUACGACCUGGAAACAUUCCUUCAAUCUCGCUUUGCUUCAUUUUCUCACUUGAAAACAGACACAAUAAUAGCACUCACCUUACAUUACUGGGACAACGACACGAUUUAAUACAUCUAAAAGAAGAAUAUUGGCAUAUGCUCACUGUUUGGUAAUUAGAUUGAUUAUUAUUGUUAUUAUUCUUCUUCUUCUCACGUAUUCCUUCUCACAUAAUCAAGAAGUUUAUUUUUAUCCACCAAUUCAAACUUCUGUAAUCCCCAAGUAAGAGAGGCCUCAUGUGUCCUAUGCAUGAUAUAAAUAAAAGAAUACCAAUCUUAAGAGGAAAAAAAAAAAACUUAAAAGGAAUUCUGCCUUUUACUUAGAUUUUUGAAAAACCACUGGAGGAUUUGGGUUUACAAAAUGGAAUAUGUUAUUGCUGCCGAGAAAAAUAUCUUAAAACUCCUUCCUCUCCGGCUCUACCAUUCCCAGGGUCAUCCCUACAGAUGGAAAUGCUCCCAUGAACCUUGUCUCUUUACCACGGAACUCUUUCAAUCUGCAAAAUUCCUUGAGCCUAAACUACAAAGGUGUUCAUUCCACCAGUCCUGCCCUCCCCCCUUUUUUUACGUCUUGUGUUCCUUCUGUUUAUCUAGUUGUUCUCAAACAAAGGAGAAACUUGGAAAUACACAGACAUGCUUUAAAAAUACCUAUGUGUUAGACCAACCCCAGACAUCCUGAAGUAAUUGGUCACGGGCGUUACCCAGGAAUUGCUAUUUUUCAAAGUUCCCUGGGUGAUCCCAAUGCCCAGCCAGGGUGAGGAGCCACUGGUCAUCCUUUCUCCAGCGUGAAUCUUCCAGAUUCUCCCUUUCUCCCCGUGCCGAAGCUCAUGACGAAGUCCAGGAGCUGGAAGUGAGAAAGCUCAAGGUACAAGUGUCCACGGCCAGAAACUCCAUCAGGGAGAAUGCGACGAGAAAGGCCUCUAGAUACUUAUUUGUGAUUCCUGUCACUGCUUUCCUUCUCUCCUCUGCUCCCGGAGCACUUUCUUUCUUCCCGUAUCUCUGUCACCUCCUUCCAUGGGCUGUGGCCCUCACGCAAGCAUUUAUUAGCUGAAGUAUUGUUUGGAUUUCUGUGGGGAACCUUAUCCUGGCCGCCUCGUGGGUAAAGGGACCCGCAUUUAUAAUGAUGCUCAGCUUUCUUCAGGCAAUAUGAAAAACCGACGUGUACGUUUUGAGAAGCAGCUGAUGUGCAAGGCUGAACACUCUGUACGGGGUGAGGCCGGGAUCAUGACUCACUGUCUUCCAUUUAUUAUCCAUGUGACCUCGGAUGUCGUAUGUAAAACAGGGCUGAUGACAUUUUAUCUACGAUACCACUGCAUGGCAGAGGUAAAUUAAACCAUCGCUUCCUGUCUUUUUCAGUCUUAUUAUGUACUACUUUGUGUCUUCCAUAAUAAUUUACUGCAAACUUAGAUUGGCAUUUACAGUAAAUUCACAGACUUGAAUUUGCAUCAGGUAAACUUUAAAAAAAAAAAAAAUCUCUUCUGCACAGGGUUGCAAUUCUGUAAUUUUUUAACACAUUUUUUGAGGAGAAUAUGGACACCAAAUGGAAUUCUAUGUUAUUUUGGUUGCUAAGCACUCAGAGCACGGCCAGCCUGGGGAGUCAGGGAAAUGGCAUGACGUUCUAGAAACAUCUGUGCCAUGUCUGUGUCCUGCUGCCACCAUGCCCCUCCUGCUACCUCCAAUCUUCAUACCCUUCCUCGUGCUCUAGGAAGUGUUAGGCACACAUGGUUUUACUAAACGUCUUUGCUCAAAUGCCACCUCCUUCAACAGGACGCCUGUGACCGGCUUCCUAAAACAAAGGUUCCUUCCACCCUCUACCUCCUUCGCCAAUUUCGCUUUUCUUGGGAGACCUGGUGACACCUGACUUAGCCUGCAGGGUCGCCUAAGCCUUCCUCCCCUAGGAAGAGCAGGCUCAGUCUUCCACCACUGAGAGCUCCUGCAUGCCAACAUUCAUGCAGCACCCGGUGCAUAAUAAACCCUCUCUUGGAUAGAAAAAUAGUUUUAAAUUGGAAAGGUAACUACUAGAGUUCCCGUGGUGGCUCAGUGGUAACAGUAUCCACGAGGAUGUGGGUUCCAUCCCUGGCCCAGCUCAGGGGGUUCAGGAUCUGGCAUUGCUGUGGCUGUAGUAUAGGCCGGCAGCUGUCGCUCUGAUUGGACCCUAGCCUGGGAACUUCCAUAUGCCAUGGUGUGGCAUUUCUCUUAAAAUACAGAAAAAUAAAAAAUAAAAUAAUAAAUAAAAAUGUAACUAUCAUUCUGAUAGUCUGAGUGUCUGCCUUUCAUUUGAAGCAGAGGAACCGAGGCCCCGAGAUGUAAAAUGACUUCCCGCUUCAGCUGGAAGAGCCAGUGCUCCUGGGACUGCGGCAGGUUGUCACCUACAGCCCUCAACCCCAUGCUCCACCAGAGUGCCUGUUUGUAUCUCUUCGUGGAGACCUGAUCCCAUGAGCUAUGCAAGCACGUCUAAAAAGGAUUCAGUUCUGAAAAAUAAUAUGUAUUGGGGGGAAAUUUUAGCUAAAAAAAAAAUCCCUGAACAAAAAUGAAAAUUAAUCUAAUUAAAUGUCUGUGAGAUGUAGCAUGUCAACUACUCAUUCGGCUCCUUGUUCAACUGCUCCUCAACACGAGUCUUAUUUUUCAGAGAGAAACUAAACCGAGCUGGGGAUGUGAGUACAUUAAAAUACGUUUGAUAUGAGGAAGGGUGGAGAGAUUUCUGAAAGUGAAAAUGCCUAAAACCACUCUUGCCUGUUAAGAUAUUCAAAGGAUGGGAGAAUAACAGCUAUUGCUAGAUAUUAUAUCAAAACAACUGUGAAGAACGUUUUCUGAGGCUUUUGGAGGAAAGUUAUCACAAUCCGAUAGCAUGGACUUCUAAAUCCUGGUAUAAAUCUUUUUACAGAAAAAAAGAAAUUUUUUUCUAGCAAAAUCCUCCUGUGAACUAACUGGGCAAAUAGCAGUGAUCAUUAGCAGAUGACAAAAUCACGUUCACGAGCUCAG